rnacentral:lncRNA from 1 species
CCCCCCCCCAACAAACCUCCCAGGUAAUAGGAAGCAGCUGAUUCGACUGAAGCUUUGCAAUAUUCUCCACAGAGUUGUAAAUGUAAACUUUAUAUUUUUGUUAUUAAAUUUUGGAUGUAUAAAUUACUCUAUUAUCAGAUUAUUAUUGAACUCCGCAGUUAUAGGGUUGUGUAUUUAAAUUGGGUCUUAUUGUUAGUACUACGCUAUAAAUUAAUUAUUGUGUAAUUAGCUGCAGGUGAAUCAGUAAGUCCAUAUUAUGAUUAUGAUUUAUUAUGAACAGGCCCUGGUUAAAUUCUAUGUAUUAUUUGAGAUUGGGUCAGAUGUUUGAAAAUUUUUAUCAACCUGUAUCUUUAAGUCAUAUGGGCUUACUGUUCUGAUGAAAUUGGGACAGAUAGGUAGAUAGAUUGGAUAAUUUAGGCUUACUACGGGCCUCGGGAGCCUUAAGCUUACCUGGGCCCUAGUGUCGGUCCGGCCCACGGAAUCGGGUCGUGAUAAAGGUAUAUAUUAAAUGCAGUAAGAAGUUUUAAGAAUUUUAAUUUUAUUGGUUGAAAAAAAAGGUAAUUUAAUUUUGAAAGGUUAAAUUAUACUAUAUAAGGUACAU